GAUGAACGCUGGCGGCGUGCUUAACACAUGCAAGUCGAACGAGAAAUGGAGACGGAAACCUUCUGGCGGAAGGCUUCAUUUCGAGUGGCGGACGGGUGAGUAACGCGUGGGUAACCUGCCUCAUACAGGGGGAUAACAGUUGGAAACGACUGUUAAUACCGCAUAAGACCACAGCACCGCAUGGUGCGGGGGUAAAAACUCCGGUGGUAUGAGAUGGACCCGCGUUCGAUUAGCCAGUUGGCGGGGUAACGGCCCACCAAAGCGACGAUCGAUAGCCGAUCUGAGAGGAUGACCGGCCACAUUGGGACUGAGACACGGCCCAAACUCCUACGGAAGGCAGCAGUGGGGAAUAUUGCACAAGGGGGGCAACCCUGAUGCAGCGACGCCGCGUGAGUGAAGAAGUACUUCGGUAUGUAAAGCUCUAUCAGCAGGGAAGAAAAUGACGGUACCUGAGUAAGAAGCCCCGGCUAACUACGUG
rnacentral:rRNA from 1 species